GAGAGCCGUGUGAUGGGUGACUAUCCAGCACGGUUCGGAGAGCACUUUUAGUCUGCGCUGGGGCUGAAUCUAUUUUAACCCAAUUUAUUUCCGC
rnacentral:ncRNA from 1 species